rnacentral:snRNA from 1 species
GCUUUAGCAGCAUGUACUAAAAUUGGAAUGUUAAAGAGAAGAUGAGCAUGAUCUCUACUGAAGAAUGACAUAGAAAUUCAUGAAGUGUUCCAUUUUUUU